GAUGAACGCUGGCGGCGUGCUUAACACAUGCAAGUCGAACGAUGAAAGCGGGAGCUUGCUCCUGCUGGAUUAGUGGCGAACGGGUGAGUAACACGUGAGCAAUCUGCCCCGAACUCUGGGAUAAGCGUUGGAAACGACGUCUAAUACCGGAUACGACGCGCGAAGGCAUCUUCUGCGCGUGGAAAGAACUUCGGUUCGGGAUGAGCUCGCGGCCUAUCAGCUAGUUGGUGAGGUAACGGCCCACCAAGGCGACGGCGGGUAGCCGGCCUGAGAGUGUGACCGGCCAGACUGGGACUGAGGCACGGCCCAGACUCCUACGGGAGGCAGCGGUGGGGAAUAUUGCACAAUGGGCGCAAGCCUGAUGCAGCAACGCCGCGUGAGGGACGACGGCCUUCGGGUUGUAAACCUCUUUUAGUAGGGAAGAAGCGAAAGUGACGGUACCUGCAGAAAAAGCACCGGCUAACUACGUGCCAGCCGCCGCCGUAACAC
rnacentral:rRNA from 1 species